AUUGAACGCUGGCGGCAGGCCUAACACAUGCAAGUCGAGCGGAUGAAGGGAGCUUGCUCCUGGAUUCAGCGGCGGACGGGUGAGUAAUGCCUAGGAAUCUGCCUGGUAGUGGGGGAUAACGUCCGGAAACGGGCGCUAAUACCGCAUACGUCCUGAGGGAGAAAGUGGGGGAUCUUCGGACCUCACGCUAUCAGAUGAGCCUAGGUCGGAUUAGCUGGUUGGUGGGGUAAAGGCCUACCAAGGCGACGAUCCGUAACUGGUCUGAGAGGAUGAUCAGUCACACGGAACUGAGACACGGUCCAGACUCCUACGGGAGGCAGCAGUGGGGAAUAUUGGACAAUGGGCGAAAGCCUGAUCCAGCCAUGCCGCGUGUGUGAAGAAGGUCUUCGGAUUGUAAAGCACUUUAAGUUGGGAGGAAGGGCAGUAAGUUAAUACCUUGCUGUUUUGACGUUACCAACAGAAUAAGCACCGGCUAACUUCGUG
rnacentral:rRNA from 1 species